AGCGUUGUUCGGAAUUACUGGGCGUAAAGGGCUCGUAGGCGGCCUAUUAAGUCAUACGUGAAAUCCCUCAGCUUAACUGGGGAACUGCGUGUGAUACUGGAUGGCUUGGAUUUGGGAGAGGGAUGCGGAAUUCCAGGUGUAGCGGUGAAAUGCGUAGAUAUCUGGAGGAACACCGGUGGCGAAGGCGGCAUCCUGGACCAAUAUUGACGCUGAGGAGCGAAAGCCAGGGGAGCAAACGGG
rnacentral:rRNA from 1 species